rnacentral:rRNA from 1 species
AUUGAACGCUGGCGGCAGGCCUAACACAUGCAAGUCGAACGAGUGGCGGACGUGUGAGUAAUGUCUGGGAAACUGCCUGAUGGAGGGGGAUAACUACUGGAAACGGUAGCUAAUACCGCAUACCAUCGGAUGUGCCCAGAUGGGAUUAGCUAGUAGGUGGGGUAAAGGCUCACCUAGGCGACGAUCCCUAGCGGGUCUGAGAGGAUGACCAGCAACACUGGAACUGAGACACGGGCCAGACUCCUACGGGAGGAAGCAGUGGGGAAUAUUGCACAAUGGGCGCAAGCCUGAUGCAGCCAUGCGGGGUGUGUGAAGAAGGCCUUCGGGGUGUAAAGUACUUUCAGCGAGGAGGCGUUACCCGCAGAAGAAGCACCGGCUAACUCCGUGCCAGCAGCCGCGGUAAUUC